GGCCCAUUAAAGCAUAAGAUGUUGGUUCUUUCACUCUUUUUAUUUAGCGUUCUCUAAUUCACGUGUUGUAUCCAUUCUCUCAUUAUUUUAUUUUACAUACCAAUAUCUGAUAUUUUUUAAAGAUUUAAUUUUGGAUCACUUCACAUCCAAGUUAAUAAAUAUUGUGACCCCUAAAGUGCCAGAAGUAUAGUAAUCCCCAUGGAAACCAAUAGAAUGUUCUUACUCAUUGCUCAAAUAUUAGAAUUUUAGAAUUUCAGAUUUGCUCUUGAUUUUUCAUUUCUGGCUUGUUAAUUCACAAUUAUGGCCAAUAUGGUUAAAUUACAAGAUAUGUGUAUUGAAUGUUUGUAUUGUAAUUUCUUGUUUUUCCUGUAUGCUAUAGAAUCAGAGCACGGUUUACUGUAAGACACAGGAGUCCCCAUUAGGUCUCUUUCCCAAUCUCUUCUCAUUAUUCUCCUUUUUAAGUAAAUCCUCUAGGUUUCUAAUCUCAAUUUCCAGAACACCUCUUCCAUGUUCUCUUUUAAUAUCUG